GCCAACGUAGCUCAGUUGGUAGAGCACAGCUUUCGUAAAGCUGGGGUCGCGGGUUCGACUCCCGCCGUUGGCU
rnacentral:tRNA from 1 species